GUGGGGAAUAUUGGGCAAUGGAGGAAACUCUUACCCAGCAAUGCCGCGUGAGUGAUGAAGGUCUUAUGGAUUGUAAAGCUCUUUGAUUGGGGACGAAUAAAUGACGGUACCCAAAGAACAAGCCCCGGCUAACUAUGUGCCAGCAGCCGCGGUAAUACAUAGGGGGCGAGCGUUGUCCGGAAUGACUGGGCGUAAAGGGUGUGUAGGCGGUUUAUCAAGUUAGAAGUGUAAUACCUAGGGCUUAACUCAGGUGCUGCUUCUAAAACUGAUAGACUUGAGUGUGGGAGAGGAUGAUGGAAUUCCUAGUGUAGCGGUGGAAUGCAUAGAUAUUAGGAGGAACACCAGAGGCGAAGGCGAUCGUCUGGACCAUAACUGACGCUGAGGCACGAAAGCGUGGGGAGCAAACAGGAUUAGAUACCCGAGUAGUCC
rnacentral:rRNA from 1 species